rnacentral:rRNA from 1 species
UACGUAGGGUGCGAGCGUUAAUCGGAAUUACUGGGCGUAAAGCGUGCGUAGGCGGUUCGCUGUGUCCGAUGUGAAAGCCCCGGGCUUAACCUGGGAAUGGCAUUGGAAACUGGCGGGCUUGAGUGCGGCAGAGGGGGGUGGGAAUUCCUGGUGUAGCGGUGGAAUGCGCAGAUAUCAGGAGGAACACCAAUAGCGAAGGCAGCUCGCUGGGACGUAACUGACACUGAGGCGCGAAAGCGUGGGGAGCGAACAGG